GAAGAGAUAAGUGCUGAAAGCAUCUAAGCACGAAACUUGCCCCGAGAUGAGUUCUCCCUGACUCCUUGAGAGUCCUGAAGGAACGUUGAAGACGACGACGUUGAUAGGCCGGGUGUGUAAGCGCAGCAAUGCGUUGAGCUAACCGGUACUAAUGAACCGUGAGGCUUAACCUU
rnacentral:rRNA from 1 species